AUGUAUAUUUAUAGAUAGGUAUGGAUAGAUAUGUAUGCAUAGCUUCGCGUGCCCCCACACAUCGCACCCCUGCUUGCGAUCAUCCAGCUAGCCUUCGAACCGGGCAGGAACACCGCCGUCUCGCUCUUUUUUCCCGAUUCAUUUUGCAAUAGCCGAAAAAAAGGUACUUGCACUUCCCCACCGACAUUGUUGUCUCUCGCUGUUUGCUUUCUAUCGCUGCCCACCGCCUCACGUUCUCACCACCACCACCCCUCCCCUCCCCUCCAACCCCCUUCAUCAAGAGCCUCGUUGUUGUUUAUCUUUUCCUCUUUCUUCGUGGCAAGCCGGGCAGUGCAGAGCAGUGUACUGUCGCUAAAGCAGGAAUACGAUUCACCAUCCCGCAUUGACAGCGCUGCCUGCACGUGCAUCUUCCGGCGUCACCGUUCUCUCCGCUCCCUCACAGGCGCGCUACGACGACGCCCACCUAUUCACCAGUAGAGAACAGUAAGCCAAGCUAGCCGCGCUCCGUUCCGCAAACGCGGCCCGGUAAAACGUGCUCGUGGGAUACGUGCGCCCCUGUGGCUUCUGCCUCACCGCUUCCUUGCCUCAUUCCAGACACAUCCAAGCACUUCGGCACACCGAGCCAGACAGGUACAAGCUCUUCCGCCCAGUGGCAGACACAACGUCGUCGACGACAGUCACGAGCACCGUCGCCUCCUCUUGGCAUUUUUCUUUGGUGUGUAAGCAAUGACCAGCCCGUUUCGCUACGUGAUCACCGACAUGGACGGCACGCUGCUGUCACCAGACCACUUUGUGAGCGACUACACCCGCGACACGCUCAAGACGCUCGUGCAUGAACACGGCGUAACACCCAUCUUGGCGACCGGCCGCAGCUAUGCGGAUGCGCGAAUUAUCGCUGACAACCUCAAGAAGUACAUUUGGGGCGAUGGCACGGCAGUGCCCGGCGCGCGGGCGCCUGCGAGCCCAUCGAGGGCCCCGGCCAUCUACCUCGUUACCUCCAAUGGCGCUACGGUGCACAACGGUGUCACACACGAAGUCGUAUUCCGGACCUCCAUCGAUCCUGCACUGGCGGAGAAGCUGUUCCAGCUUCUGCCCAGCGACGAGGAAGUUGUGAACACGAACGCCUACCAGAAUGAUGAUUGGGUUUGCCGCAUCGACUGGCCAGAAAUGAUGGCUGCUACCAAGGAGAGCGGCAUUCGCUUCAUCCAUGUGCCACAUCCGCUGCCGUCGUCGAGCUGCGCACUAGGCUCGGCUGCGGCAUCGCCCGACGCAGCAGCGAGCGGCAUUGCCAUCGGCGACUACACGGGUAUUUCCAAGAUCUUCUUCAUCACCGACGACGCGGCGCGUCUGGCGGCGCUAGCGGACGAGGUACACGCGAUCGCCAAAGCCCACGGUGGUGCGCCGGUGUCGCUGACCUUUUCGACGUCGGACUGCAUGGAUAUCAUGGCGAAUGGCGUGACGAAAGCCGAGGCGCUGAAGAAGCUCUUUGGCGCUAUCCUACCGUCCAGAGACGGAGUCGACGUCGUCGCCGACGCCCUCGCGCACGCCAUUGCAUUUGGCGACGGCCUCAACGAUGCAGAAAUGCUCACGUCAGCCGGAAAGGGCUGUGUCAUGGGCAAUGCAAACCCAAAGCUGAUUGCGCAGCACCCGGAGCUGGAGGUGAUUCUCACCAGCGCCGAAGAUGGAGUGGCAAAGAAGCUGCGAAGCGUGUUUCAUCUUCCGCUCUAACGAAGCUAUCGGAGAUGGGAGCCAGUGGAGGAAGCUAUGCUGCCCUCGCAUCGCGUUUGGUAUGUCGACGCGCAUAGAUGUUGUCCACGGAGCGCUCACCUACCGUCUGGUGCUGCCUCGGUUUGUCUCCACCGCUGGGCUGUGCCCAUGUAUGGAUAUGCGUACCUAGGAGGCGCGUGGUGUUGUGUGCUGGAUGUACCCUUCCCCCCCCCCCCACACACACACACCCUGUCCAUAAUGCCGCGCGUCAAGCGCGCGCGCACGUUCUCUGUGGCGUCUGCUCCCAUUUCAUUGCGUGCUGGUGUUGAGAGCCUGAAUGUCAUCUCCGAGAGGGGAUGCAGCAGGGGGCGGCCAGCACAGUGCGGGUGCGGCUGUGAGGCGAACUGCGGAGCACGGUGUGGAUGGGUAGAGGUUGGAGUCAGAGGCCGUUCUCCAGUGACUGAGUCGGCGCGCUGCCGCACAGCGUGUAUCAACUGCUACUUCGCACCACGCGAUGGGGGGCCUGUGAAAGGGCGGGCGGUAGAGAGGCGCUUGCAUCCAUGCACUAUGGUCGAGAAAUGGACACGCUGCAGGAGAAGCCCCGCUCUGCAGACGCACACGCUCGCCUCUCGUAGGAGCAGAACUGCACCUGACCGCAAACGGAAGGGACCGAAAGAAGAGGUGGAAAGCGUCACUUCUGCAGACCGCGUGUGGAAAGCAAAACAGGCGAGUGUUUCUGGAAGAGCACCGCCCACCCACCCUCCCAUGUGUAACGUGUUGUGGUAUCCCCUCCUUUUCGCGGAUUUGCCGCGGUCCUGUGUUUUCGGAGAAGGGGGAGGGCUCUCACGGGUUGGCGCCCAUCACCCACUCGCCAUGCUCUUUCUGUUCGUUCUUUUCUUAUGGUUAUCGGUAACGCACCCCCUCACACGCUGGCACACCUGCACUUCAUCGGAUGUC
rnacentral:misc_RNA from 1 species